CCUUCUUCCCGAGCGGCAGUAUAAGUUUCGUGUCCGAGCGGAGAACAUGUACGGAGUCGGAGAGCCGAGCGCCGAGUCUACGCCCGUCACCGUGGGGCUGGUGGACAACGAUGACGAGGCCGAGGUGGAGGAGGAGGAUGAAGACUCGGAGAAAGAGCCGGAUUACAGAGACGUUUCCAUCCGGACGGACUUGAAGGUGAAGGAGCUGUACGACGUGGAGGAGAGGCUG